GCUCUUAGAAUAAAUUAAAAGUGCAACCUGCCCUAUGGUUUGCAAAAGUUAGUAAAUUAACGAUAAACUCAAACUAAAUGGCCGCGGUAACUCUGACCGUGAUAAUGUAGCGAAAUCAAUCGUCGUUUAAUUGACGACCAGUAUGAAUGGUUAAACGAAUUCUCCACUGUCUCGAAAAUAAAAUCGCUUAAAUUAAAAUAAUAGUGAAGAUGCUAUUUUAAAACUAUAAGACGAGAAGACCCUAUAGAGCUUAACUAUAAUCUAUCUGAUAAAACCGAUUAAAUAUUAUUUUAAAGAUAGAUUGGUAGUUUGGUUGGGGCGACCGUUUUCUAAAAGUAACGAAAACAAACAAUGGUAAUUAAUAAAAACUAACUUAAUUGUUUAAUAAAUAAAUUUAACAAAUACUAAAGUAGGUUAUAAUGACCCGUUAUUUUCUUAAAAUAGAAUUAACGAUAAAUAAAUAAAAGCUACCUUAGGGAUAACAGCGUAAUCUUGUUUUAGAGUUCUUAUCGACAACAAGGUUUGCGACCUCGAUGUUGAAUUGCGAUAUCCUGAGGGUGCAGAAGCUCUCAAGGGUUGGUCUGUUCGACCAUUAAAAU
rnacentral:rRNA from 1 species